rnacentral:rRNA from 1 species
UACGUAGGGUCCAAGCGUUGUCCGGAUUUAUUGGGCGUAAAGAGCUCGUAGGCGGCUCAGUAAGUCGGAUGUGAAAACUCGGGGCUCAACCCCGAGACGCCAUCCGAUACUGCUGUGGCUUGAGUCUGGUAGGGGAACACGGAAUUCCUGGUGUAGCGGUGAAAUGCGCAGAUAUCAGGAGGAACACCCGUGGCGAAGGCGGCUCUCUGGGACGGUACUGACGCUGAGACGCGAAAGCGUGGGGAGCGAACAAG